UACGUAGGGUCCGAGCGUUGUCCGGAAUUACUGGGCGUAAAGAGCUCGUAGGUGGUUUGUCGCGUUGUUCGUGAAAACUCACAGCUCAACUGUGGGCGUGCGGGCGAUACGGGGCAGACUGGAGUACUGCAGGGGAGACUGGAAUUCCUGGUGUAGCGGUGGAAUGCGCAGAUAUCGGAAGGAACAUCAGUGGCGAAAGCGACUUCCUGGACCAGUACCGACGUUUCAGGCACGAAAGCGUGGGGAGCAAACAGG
rnacentral:rRNA from 1 species